rnacentral:misc_RNA from 1 species
AACGCACAUUGCACCUUCUGGUAUUCCGGGAGGUAUGCCUGUUCGAGCGUCAUUACAACCCUCACGCCUCGCGUGGUAUUGGACUCGCCCUCCUGGGCCUGUCUCAAAGUCAGUGGCGGCUUCAGUGAAGUUCCUAGGCGUAGUACUACUAAUCGCUUCUGUAACUCUGCUCAAAGCCCGCCAGCCAACCCCCACCAUACAAGGUUGACCUCGGAUCAGGUAGGGAUACCCGCUGAACUUAA